UUUUCCUUCUCCAGCCGCUGAGCCUUGCUUCCUGCUGUGCUUUCCUCCUGGAGGGUGAAUGCUCCAGCGGCGCUCCUGAUUGGUCCGUGUUUUCCUGCCGCUCCGCCCCGCUCUCACUUGCCGCGGUGCUGGCCAUGGUGCUGAACCGCCGCCUGUUCCUCUCUCUCGCUUCCGGGUUGCCGCUGCAGUGGGCGAAGAGCGGUUUUUCCUAGGUGUGUUUGCGGUGGUGCCCGUGCCGCCGUCACAAUAUAUAUAUAU